rnacentral:rRNA from 1 species
UACGGGGGGGGCAAGCGUUGUUCGGAAUUACUGGGCGUAAAGGGUUUGUAGGUGGCCAACUAAGUCAGACGUGAAAUCCCUCAGCUUAACUGGGGAACUGCGUCUGAUACUGGUUGGCUUGAGUGCAGGAGAGGAACGCGGAAUUCCAGGUGUAGCGGUGAAAUGCGUAGAUAUCUGGAGGAACACCGGUGGCGAAGGCGGCUCACUGGCCCGGUACUGACGCUGAGAUACGAAAGCGUGGGGAGCAAACAGG